UACCUUGUUACGACUUAGCCCCAGUCACUAAGUUCGCCUUCGACGCAAUUUCUUGCGGCUUCGGGCGCCCCCAGCUUCCAUGGCUUGACGGGCGGUGUGUACAAGGCCCCGGAACGUAUUCACCCCAGCAUGCUGAUCUUCGAUUACUAGCGAUUCCAGCUUCAUGCAGUCGAGUUGCAAACUGCAAUCCCAACUGAGGCCGGCUUUAGGGAUUCCCUCCACCUCGCGGUUUCGCCCUCUGUACCCACCAUGGUAUCACGUGUGUAGCCCCCCC
rnacentral:rRNA from 1 species